GGGUUCUAGGCCACACACCAGCAAGCAGCAGUGCCUGGACUUGCGUCCACCUCUCUGUGUCUGGCCUUAGUCUCCACCCCCAAGCCCCGGACACUCCACGGCUGCCAGAAUGUGUCCACCCAUUGGAAUCACUUGAAGAGAAUCAAAAGAAGAGGAGGAGGAGGAAAAGAGAAGAGAAAAAAAAAAA